AUGGAGAUACGGCCAAGGCAAAAGCAAGCAGCAGAGAUGAGCCAGGGAGGAGGAGAGAGGCUACACUUCAUGAUCCAGUCAAAACCAGCCAUGGCACCCAGACAAGGUGCUCUGCAGCUUUCAAAGUGCAUCACAUCCAUUAUCUUCUGUGACCCACAGACAGGUCAGCAAAGCUGGCUGGUGUGAGGUCGCCGAGCCCCGUGCAGGUUGCCCCUCGCAUACCUCUUGCAUCCACUCCUUCCUCUCCGUCGCAUGCCACUGCCCUUGUCAUCUCUCACGGGGCUGUUGCAAUAGCUUCCUGCCUGUCUCCCUGCUCCCAGCCUGUGCCCUCUGUCCUCUCUUGCUGCCUGAGUGAUCUUUCUGCACUGAAAAUUUGUUCAUCCUAUACAGUAGGCUUAACAGCCUCCAAUGGCGCCCAGCAGGUACAGAAUAAAGUCCCAA
rnacentral:lncRNA from 1 species